CCACAACCUUAAGCACCUUAUGAACAAAAAGACGAAGAGGAGACUCAUGAUAGACGGCAAGGAGACUUCGAUGGCGAGGCGACGACGACGACAACUCCAUCAAGAUGGAGUGAUCCUCAACCUCUUCUUCUUCUCCUCUCUCUCUCUCUCUCCUCGCCACUGCCGUCGAAGAGAAAAUGCUUGAUUUUAUUUCCACAUACUGAUUUAAGUUGAUUUGUUUUCUGGGUUUCUUGUAUUCUUGUUGGCUUAGAUUGUUGUUUGUGAAAAACCCUGAGAAAUUAUCUAUAAUAACUGGGAAAAUGUGAUUUUUGAUUUGUUUAAUGGAAGGAAAACAAGAAAGAAGAGAACUAGGAUUUGGUUUCUGCUUUGCUAAUCUUUGUGUUAAGUUUCUCCUUUGCUAAUCUUUGGGUUGAAAUCUAGGUGGUUGACCAAACAAUCAUCUUAGUUUCUUCAUGGAAUGUGAAUUGGAAAACAUAUUUUGGAUAUGUUGAAGAACCCUCUUUUCUUAAUCGGAAUCACCGUUGCUGUCACGUUGUCGCCAUCGUUCCUUUGUCGUCCGAUCACCUGUCUCCUCUUCGUGUCCUUAUUGUGGUCUCUCAAACAAACAUUUGAGACCUUUGAGAGCAAACAAUAUAGGUGGAAAGAAACAAAGGGGAAAAAAAAGAAAGAAAAAAAAAUUUCGUCAUUUUGAUAGCACUGCAAAAACCACGACAGACAAACAUAACAGAGAAUUUGGACUCAUUUGUUUAUAUCUCAUUUGUUUAAGAAUGAAGGAAAUUAGGUUAGGAGGAAGAACAAGGCAUGUAGCUUAGGACUUCAUCUUUUUAAAGCAAUUUUUGAUGUUCUUGAUGUAUUUAGACCUUCAUCAUCCCAUAUUCCUUUGGUUUUCAUAAGUUUUGUGGCUUAAAUUCCUAUUUUAGAUGAAAGGAAAGAAAAGUUUUGGAAAAGAAUUCAAUUCUUCAAAUCCUUAGCAAAUCUUGAUAUUCAAUCUUUGAUUUUUGAAAAGAAACCAAGUUUUUGUGUUUUGAUUUGGAAAACAAUCAUAUUUUCAUGUUUAUCAGUGAUUUUACAUGUUUUAGAUUAAGUUGCAUAAGCCCUAGCUCAAGAAAAAUGAAAGAAGAACACUUAGAACUUAUUGAAUUUUCGGACUGCUCUGUUUUGCCUAGAACCGCACGUGCGGCGGGGGUUCCCACAUGUGUGGCCAGCUUCACCAGAAAGCAAAUUCAAUUAUGAAAAAAAGGCAUGUACCUUGCCCGGCCCGCACUUGCGCUGCCUAUCUCGCGUGUGCGGAAAUCCCCUGUUUUGCCUAUGCUUUUUUUUUUUGUAACCCUUUUUCACCUAAGACACUUCUUAUACCCAUUUGACGCUUAGAUAAGACUUGAGCUAGACCUAGAACAAUGCUAGAAUGCUUGAGAGGAUAUAAGAAAAACAUUUAACUAAGUUUAGACAACCGAUUUGUUAUGUGAAUGCAUGUAAGUUAGGAAUUUCAAUGCUUUGCUCUUUUUUGUAGGUUAAGCUUUGAAGAAGUUACACUCUUAUUCUCAGAGCCAUUUGUGACGAAGAGUUCAAUUACGAAGAGAAGUUUGAAUAGAAGAUGGUCUUGUAUGCUUGUACUAGUUUUGUAAAGCCUUGUCAUGUGUUAUAUUUUACUUUUGUCAUACGGAUAAUAAUGCAAAGAUAACAAUCCAAUAAGAACGUAUAUUUUCAUUAUGCACUGCGUUGAAUGGAUGUUUUAAAUAGACUCAAUAUAAGCAAGUAAUGGCUUCUGCACUUAGAAAUUGAAAAUUUGCCCCGAUUAUUCUAAGAGUCCAACUUGUUUGGUAAGCUAGGCCUUUGGUAGUCCACAACUACUGGCCGGUCAUCUCACCAUCCUGUUUGGGGCGGGUUAGGGUCAUGGUAGUUCCACUCUUAGGAGUGGAAUGGAAGUGCAUGAUUUUCUUGCAAGGUGUAUGGGUGUAAGUCCCCAAAGUGUUAAUUUAACAACUAACCACUGACUUUCGCUGAUCAAAAAAAAAAAAAAAAAAAGGAUUCUACCAUUGAUUUAAGUUGAUGGCAAACCCUUUGCAAGUCCAAUUAAUCAAUGGUUUGACAAACUCAUUUCUGUUGUCUAUGUGCUCCUUGUAUUCUUUCAUAUUGUUUCAUAACACCUUUAGAACUUUGUAGCUCCUUUUUCUAGUACUUAAUGUUACUACUCCUUUUUCUUUAAUAUUAUUAUGUUAUUGGGCUAUUUUUAUUCUAUCCCUUUUUUUUUUCCCUAAUAUAUCUGCAGGUUGUCUCUCCUGUUAAAAUGACAUUUGAAAUGUAAGAGAUCUAGUUUCACAUUUUAAGUGAUUAUUUCCUAGAUCUUUUUCAGUUUUCCAACUCUCCUUUCCUAUUUGUUCUUAAUUUUCUUUAUUAGGAAUCAGCAAUAAGAAAUUAGGGAAGGAAGAAGAGUUGGACGUUAAGGCUGAAAGAACAGCUGAAGCAAGUUAAUGUGGAAAAGUCUGAAAUGACCUCCAAAUAUGAAAAGCUUUCUGUUGGCCUUUGUUUUUCUUUUGCGUGUGUUCCCGCAUUUAUCGUAUCCAACAAUUGUUGGAAAUAUCUGUGUGGAGGUGUCCGUGUCGUGUCACGUGUCCUUUCCCAUCUCCAUAUCUGUGCUUCUUAUUCAUGUGUUCUUUGCAUUGCUUUAAUUUUCUCUACACACUCAUAGCUAUCUAUUAAAUUUUGAGGAACAGUAGUUGUCCAUAUUCUAUGUGAAGGUUGGCAUCGUGAGAUGCCAGUUUAAUAUGUGCUUGAAUUGUCUAAAAAUCAUGCACUUUUUAUUCUAGAGAUUUGAAGCCUUAAUUCCAAUUGAUUGGUUGAUGCCAUGAUGAUUUAAAUGUCAUAGUUUCUAAGCACUCAUCUCGUGGUUAUACUAUUUGCAGGUUGUAAGGGCAUUAAAAUUCUUCCAGGAGGGAAGAGAUUCUUUUUGUGAUCAGUGGGAGGCUGUUACAAAGAAAAACCCUCUGAUAGUAUUCAUUCACGCUGGACCUUUAAUUUAGUUUUAUCGUUCGUCUAAUUCACGCUUAUGCAGUGGGUAGAGACAUGGAAGAAGCAUUAGCUUUUGUGAGGAAAAUGAAAGACGAGGGCAUCGAAAUGAGUUUGGUGACUUCCAGUAUUCUUGUUGCGGGAUUUGCUAAAGUUGGCAAUGUUUGGCAAAAAUAAAUCUUGUAUAGUAUCCUAUAUUUUAAAAGCUAACAACACUCUGUUAAUCUCUCUCGAAUCUGCUUCCUGUAAUAAGUUCUGCUUUCAUUGGGGUUUACUAGAGCUACUUGCUUCUCAUUAUCUCACUCUAUUAUAAGAUUUACUUGUUCUUGUUGUUGGUGUAAUUGUUGUUUGUGUUUGUGUUUGUAUUGUAAAUCUCUAGAUGGUGUCCAUCUCAGAGUGAGUUUUAACCGAUAUUUUGAUCUGUGUUUGAUUUCUGACUUUUACUAGUUAAUGGAUUUGUGGAAGCAAUGAAUGUCC